rnacentral:piRNA from 1 species
UCGUAGAGGUUGUGCGAUGCGUCAUCUAC